rnacentral:lncRNA from 1 species
GCAUAAUGAAUCUUGGAUGCCAAAAUCAAGUUUUCCUUGGAGAAAGUCCUCACACCGUCUGAAAGAGGAUUUGCAUAAAAGCUGUAGUGCCCUUGAGGAGAAAAGAAACUGAUAGAAGGAUUCAGGGGAGUCUGAGAUGUCAGGAAAGAUACCUUGCAGUGAAACAUAACGAAUGGCUUUAUAAACUCUUCCAAGAAGAAUUCUAGGUGAGGCCAGACACUGUUUUUAGGUGGAUCAAGCAGAAGGAGGACUUGAAGCAUUUUAAGUGGGAAGCUACAGGGUUCUGCUCAGAAGGAAAUGCUAGGGAGUGUGCCCAGGAGCAGAUGGAGUGAGGGACGCCUCGGUCUUGCCUUCACAGCAUUUCUUCUUACAGCAGUUUCUUACAUUAACUUGGCCUAGUGGUCAGUCUUGAAGGAGCUUCUACUGGAGUCCCUGCAGCUCAGUGCCCCAGCUCCCCCAUCCUGUGCUAGUCGGCUGGUUUAUUAGGCAAAUAUUAACCAGUGAACCACAGAGGCCCAUGGUCCAGUGGGCAGGGUGUAGGAAAUUACCUGGAACCUGGCGAUGAAUGGAGAUAGAGCUGGAGUUUGGGUCCAGGGAGCCAGUUUACAGCACAUCACUGAAAACAACUCUCCCCAGGGAUUAAUAAAACGCUCAACACCUGUGACAAAGACAUUCGCCUAUGGCUUUGGUGAGGGGGAUUUUUGGGAAUAAACAAGUAUUCUUUCUAUAAGCAGGGAACUUCUAAUACCCAUUUUAGUAAGAUUUGCUGUUUUAUUCUUUCUCCUGGAACUCAAAUUUCAUCAAAUCCUUAUUAGAAAGAAUUUCUCUAAAAUAUGGUUCCUGUUUCACUUCUCUUCAUUAAAAGCUAAAAGAGGAAAGGAGAUAAAAAUAUGUGUGGGACAGGAACCUCCUGCUUUCUAGUAAGCAGAAGUGGUAUUGCCUGAUAAAGUGUAUAGAGUCACUGGAAUGGAGGCAAAGCCAUAGAGAAACCAGACCUGCUCUUUUUUUGUGAAUGACAGUGGUAAAGAAUGUCACCCCUCUUAACUUCUCUACACCCUGUAUGUACAAAUUGCUUAUACCGAUACCACCCUCAAUGGUAACUCACUUCACACCUCCAUUUUCUUUC